AAGAUUAUUUUUUAGUCCGAAGCCCUUCGGUCUCCAUCUAACUAAGGGAAAAGACACAAAAAGCAUAACAUUACAUAUGAACCUGCACGUUUCGGGCCGGUGUCCUCGUCUACUGCGUCCUGAUGUCGAAGGAACAGCGGUAACCCGUACGCUGAUCUACGCCUAGCAGGAGCAGUCUCUGACCCACCAGCCUAACAGUAACCAUACAAUAUACUUUGACGUGAUCUCGCCGUUAAGGAGAUCUCAUCGUUAAGAGGCAUAGAAACGUGAUACUUAACAGCCAACGUAUAUAUAUGGACGCAUGACGGAAGUUGAGUAGUUUUAGUGUGACUAAGAAUAAUAACACGUGACAAUUAUGAUAAAUAGUGCGUCUGAAUAUUUACACAUUAUAUUUUAUGAUUAAUGGAAAAAUUAACAAAGUUAAUUGAUGGUUGCGUUUUGUAAAAUUAUUUUACAAUAAAAUGAUUCUAAAAAUAA